CGGACUCUUCGGAGUGAGUGGCGGACGGGUGAGUAUCGCGUAGGGAUCUAUCCACGGGUGGGGGAUAACACUGGGAAACUGGUGCUAAUACCGCAUGAUACCUGAGGGUCAAAGGCGCAAGUCGCCUGUGGAGGAGCCCUGCGUUCGAUUAGCUUGUUGGUGGGGUAAAGGCCUACCAAGGCGAUGAUCGAUAGCUGGUCUGAGAGGAUGAUCAGCCACACUGGAACUGAGAUACGGUCCAG
rnacentral:rRNA from 1 species